GAUGAACGCUAGCGGCAGGCUUAACACAUGCAAGUCGAGGGGUAGGAGAAGCUUGCUUUUCUGAGACCGGCGCACGGGUGCGUAACGCGUAUGCAAUCUACCUUUCACAAAGGGAUAGCCCAGAGAAAUUUGGAUUAAUACCUUAUAGUAUUAUAGAAUGGCAUCAUUUUAUAAUUAAAGAUUUAUCGGUGAAAGAUGAGCAUGCGUCCCAUUAGCUAGUUGGUAUGGUAACGGCAUACCAAGGCUACGAUGGGUAGGGGUCCUGAGAGGGAGAUCCCCCACACUGGUACUGAGACACGGACCAGACUCCUACGGGAGGCAGCAGUGAGGAAUAUUGGACAAUGGGCGCAAGCCUGAUCCAGCCAUGCCGCGUGCAGGAUGACGGUCCUAUGGAUUGUAAACUGCUUUUAUACAGGAAGAAACACCUCUACGUGUAGAGACUUGACGGUACUGUAAGAAUAAGGAUCGGCUAACUCCGUGCCAGCAGCCGCGGUAAUACGGAGGAUCCAAGCGUUAUCCGGAAUCAUUGGGUUUAAAGGGUCCGUAGGCGGUCAGAUAAGUCAGUGGUGAAAGCCCAUCGCUCAACGGUGGAACGGCCAUUGAUACUGUCUGACUUGAAUUAUUAGGAAGUAACUAGAAUAUGUAGUGUAGCGGUGAAAUGCUUAGAGAUUACAUGGAAUACCAAUUGCGAAGGCAGGUUACUACUAAUAUAUUGACGCUGAUGGACGAAAGCGUGGGUAGCGAACAGGAUUAGAUACCCUGGUAGUCCACGCCGUAAACGAUGGAUACUAGCUGUUGGGAGCAAUCUCAGUGGCUAAGCGAAAGUGAUAAGUAUCCCACCUGGGGAGUACGAACGCAAGUUUGAAACUCAAAGGAAUUGACGGGGGCCCGCACAAGCGGUGGAGCAUGUGGUUUAAUUCGAUGAUACGCGAGGAACCUUACCAAGGCUUAAAUGUAGUUUGACCGGUU
rnacentral:rRNA from 1 species